UACGUAGGGUGCGAGCGUUAAUCGGAAUUACUGGGCGUAAAGCGUGCGCAGGCGGUUUUGUAAGCCAGAUGUGAAAUCCCCGGGCUUAACCUGGGAAUGGCAUUUGGGACUGCAAGGCUGGAGUGUGGCAGAGGAGACUGGAAUUCCGCGUGUAGCAGUGAAAUGCGUAGAUAUGCGGAGGAACACCGAUGGCGAAGGCAAUCCCCUGGGCCUGCACUGACGCUCAUGCACGAAAGCGUGGGGAGCAAACAGG
rnacentral:rRNA from 1 species